UAGUAAGAAGUAAUAAAUUACACUCAAUUUCGACCUGAGAAUAAGUGAAUAUCCACCGUACUAA
rnacentral:tRNA from 1 species